GCGACUCUGCUGGGGAUCGAACCCAGAAUCUCUGGUUCACCAUUCAAUUUUUUUUUUAAGUAUGAAUAACCAACUACAACUACAAUAUUUUUUUGUUAGGAGGACAAAAAAAAAGAAGGAACAUCACCAUUCUUUCACUAGGAGAAAAUCAUCAUCUGGAACCAAAGAACAAUUCUCAACUCAUAGUGACCAUUUCCAUUCAAGAUUAAGACACACACUGCCAUCUUCUUCCAUUAACAUCACAAUACUAACCAUCAUCGGAGAUGACCACAUACAUACACCGCUAUAGAUACUGACCAAUGAGAGGGAAAGAUCAAGAGAGAGAGGGGCUGAAAUCAGAGAGACGCGAGAUAGUGUCGAAAAGGGAGACGGGUAUUUACUAAAACAGAGAGGAUAUCUUCUUCACCAAGAUUGAGGCAUAAAUCACACACGCACGUACAAUAUUACAUCG
rnacentral:lncRNA from 1 species